AUACGGAGGAUCCGAGCGUUAUCCGGAUUUAUUGGGUUUAAAGGGUGCGCAGGCGGCCAUUUAAGUCAGCGGUUAAAUCGUGGGGCUCAACCCCAUUCUGCCGUUGAUACUGGGUGGCUUGAUUGCGGUCGAGGUUGGCGGAAUUCUUUGUGUAGCGGUGAAAUGCAUAGAUAUGACGAAGAACACCGAUUGCGUAGGCAGCUGACCAGACCGCAAAUGACGCUCAUGCACGAAAGUGCGGGGAUCGAACAGGAUUAGAUACCCUGGUAGUCCGCACAGUAAACGAUGAAUACUUGUUUUCGGCGAUAUAAUGUCGGAGGCAAAGCGAAAGCGAUAAGUAUUCCACCUGGGGAGUACGCCGGCAACGGUGAAACUCAAAUGAAUUGGCGGGG
rnacentral:rRNA from 1 species